rnacentral:rRNA from 1 species
GACGUAGGGGGCCAGCGUUGUUCGGAAUUACUGGGCGUAAAGGGUUCGUAGGCGGGAUGGCAAGUCGGUCGUGAAAUCCUUCGGCUCAACCGAAGAACGUCGAUCGAUACUGCUGUUCUUGAGGGUUGCAGAGGAGACUGGAAUUCCCGGUGUAGCGGUGAAAUGUGUAGAGAUCGGGAGGAACACCGGUGGCGAAGGCGGGUCUCUGGGCAAUUCCUGACGCUGAGGCGCGAAAGCGUGGGGAGCAAACGGG